GGCCGGCUAGCUCAGUUGGUUAGAGCGUGGUGCUAAUAGUAUGUGGCAAUGCGUCACUCAAUUACUACGCCAAGGUCGCGGGUUCGACCCCCUCGCUGGCCA